rnacentral:lncRNA from 1 species
CGAUAACUGUAUUCCUGCAUCCGUCGUAGGGUCAUCAAAGCCUGAUGCAUUUCCACAUAUUAGAUCUCAAAAUCUGCACGCGCGUAUUGACAUCUUACAUACAGCUUUUACCUUUCUCCUUUUGCCGUUGCCGCUAGUAGCGGUAGCGACCUGGUACGCAUUUGGGAACGUGCAAGGCUGCUGCCUCGUACGUGCACGAUGCGUGUCGGCGUGCAAGUAGCUUGCAGGCUGGCCAUAACUGCUGAGACCGCAUUAUGCGUAAUAUGGAGCCCUUGGCAUUUAACAAGUAGUGCGUCACGCAGGUGGCAGGCAUAAAAGACAGUUCGUGUUUACAGGCGAAGAUGGAUGAUGGUCCCGAGCCUAAGAAGGUGAAACGCGGUCCUAAACCUGGUGCCUGCGAGGCAACACAGACGGAAGUCGGUCUGCACACGUUUUUGCGUACGUUACACCGCACUGGUAGUUUAACGGUUCCGAGUAUUAGCAAAUCAAUCGAAUUGUCGUUAGCUGAAAGAGUGCAGGGUGGGCGGGUGGGCUUACCAAAAACAAGAAAUCCAAUCGAUUUGCCUGACAUGACUCCAGACAUUCUCUCGGGACCACCCUUGCCCACCCCUACCAUUAAGAGCCCCCCUGCUCACCUGUGAUCGUGUUCAUCACCUAUGUCACAGGUGAUCGUGUUCAUCAAUUCGCUCCUUGUCUCCAAGGGUCAGGCGGCGACCGACAGCUAGACAUGCAGUGUUGGUACCAGGUGCAGAUGAGCUCUAGCUUGAUGCACUACUGAUGCCUGUGGCUGCACUUCGAUUUUGACCCAUUCCUGCCUACCAAGACCAGUCGUGAGCAGAAAUCUUUGUUGUCGAGCCUUGCUGCACACACGUGUUCUUGAGGCUCUCGUGCUGCCUACAGAAGCAAUAUGUCCAGGUGUGCAUGGUCACCCCCUCCAUGCACCCUUUGUGUGUGCAUGGACACCGGUGUAUACCUUUGCUGAGGCGCCAAAGCAAAUCCAUAAAACUCCAGACGGUGCAUUGUGUGUCGCCGCCAUCUAUCCAUCCAUCAUCCCUGUGACUGCCUGCCUGCUGAUGUCAGUAAGCUUUUAUUGCUGCACCCCGUAGCCUGCACUGGGGGUCCGGGCAACAUUCUUCAGCAGCCAUGUCUGCAGAUCCCGCAUCACAACGGCCAAGUGCCCCAGCCAGGGCUCUGCCUGCCGUGCAGGUCCCACCCACCAAUGUGUAUAUGGAGGGCAAUAAAAGGGCAAUGUGUAUAUGGAGGGCAAUAAAUUUUGUGAGCUAUUGUUGGC